rnacentral:SRP_RNA from 1 species
CCCGGUCGCGGUGGCGCGCGCCUGUAGUCCCAGCUACUCGGGAGGCUGAGACAGGAGGAUCGCUUGAGCCCAGGAGUUCUGGGCUGUAGUGCGCUAUGCCGAUCGGGUGUCCGCACUAAGUUUGGCAUCAAUAUGGUGACCUCCCGGGAGCGGGGGACCACCAGGUUGCCUAAGGAGGGGUGAACCGGCCCAGGUCGGAAAAGAAGAUGUGGUAUAUAUACACAAUGGAGUAGUACUACAUGGCAAUGAGGAAGAAUGAAAUCUGGCCAUUUGUAGGAAAGUGGAUGGACCUU